CGUUUUCUUCAAUCAACACCGUGGCCAACGCUUCUCAGUGUAGAUACUGUGGCCACCACUGGUGUUAGAAGGCGGGUCAAUUUUGUCUCCUGGUUUUUAGCCGUGGCUAUAGCGCUGGUCGCGAUCACAUCUAUUGUCACGCCCUUGGGCCUGUAUGAGUCUAUCGAGCCUUCGGGUGACAAGGAGAAUACCCCAUUUCGAUAUAUUAAGGACACCUCAGCGUUUGGAUACGGAACACCACCACGCCCUGAUGGGUUUUUCUCCAGGUACUGCGGCACGACGUAUACAUGUCCGGGCUCUACUGUCGAG
rnacentral:sRNA from 1 species